rnacentral:rRNA from 1 species
AGUCUAUGAAUGUAAAAUUUUUAUAACAAAUAAAAACUUCAAACAACGGAUCUCUUGGCUCUCGCAUCGAUGAAGAACGCAGCGAAAUGCGAUACGUAAUGUGAAUUGCAGAAUUCAGUGAAUCAUCGAAUCUUUGAACGCAUCUUGCGCUCUCUGGUAUUCCGGAGAGCAUGUCUGUUUGAGUGUCAUGAAUUCUUCAACCCAAUCUUUUCUUGUAAUCGAUUGGUGUUUGGAUUUUGAGCGCUGCUGGCUUCGGCCUAGCUCGUUCGCAAUACAUUAGCAUCCCUAAUACAAGUUUGGAUUGACUUGGCGUAAUAGACUAUUCGCUAAGGAUUCGGUGGAAACAUCGAGCCAACUUCAUUAAGGAAGCUCCUAAUUUAAAAGUCUACCUUUUGAUUAGAUCUCAAAUCAGGCAGGAUUACCCGCUGAACUUAAGCAUAUCAAUAAGCGGAGGAAAAGAAACUAACAAGGAUUCCCCUAGUAGCGGCGAGCGAAGCGGGAAAAGCUCAAAUUUGUAAUCUGGCGUCUUCGACGUCCGAGUUGUAAUCUCGAGAAGCGUCUUCCGCGC